GCUGGAAUUCAGACAGAGAGGUUCUGUGUCAAGGAGUCUCCCUGAAGAAAUCAUCUUUGAAGCUGCCUGACUUGGAUUAUCCUCAAGUAAAGGUUGAGUGUGAGUUUCCCUUUCACACUGGUGGACAUAUGUGAGUAGGGCGUGAACUUCCUCCCUUCCUGGAUCUUGUAAGAACCCUUAAUCUGGAUUCUUCAGUCUGACCCUACCAAGGACUCUGGAGUUUGUGAGAAUCUGGGCCCCUUUUGGACUUUAUCUUUUAUUUACCUUUUAGUGAGUGAGAUUAAGCUUAGAUUAGAAACCUUAGUAUGUUAAACUCUGGGUGGUUAGAAAUCAGUCACCCCCUGACUCCCCUUAUUCCUGCUUGGUUUAAUAAACCCCUUUUUAAUAUAUUUUACUUGUGUGAUUCCCCCCUAAAAAUCUCCUUAUUACAAUAGCACCCAGCAUACCUCAGCCACAGGCAGUACUGUCAGCUUCCACUCAACACCACCUAUGCUCCUCCAGUGAGGCCCCCUCAGCAGACCUGGGUUACAGAAAUAAUGACUAAAACAAGAACAUAUAUUCAGAAUUAAUUUUGACAGCAAUGCAUAAGCACAGCUCUCCUCUUUCCUGGUCUCAGGGAAGGGUGCUGAAAGGUCCCUUCAGAAGGAGAUGACAUCUUGUUGAUUCCCCCUUCAUCUGGCCCAUCACCUGGGAAAUAAGCUAAGAACAAGAAAGAACAAUGAAGGACACAGAAUUGAUUACUUAAUCAGAGGGAGCUAGUAUGGAACAGAGAAAAAGACUUUCCCUUAUAACGAAGAAGUUAAGAAAAGCAACCAAAGUAUCAACCACAAAUUACAGUGAAUGCAACAUUCCCCAACCACAGUCUCUCACAUCUCCAAUGAAAAGAAGAAGAAGCAUUCAGAAUGUCAACAAAACAACUUCAACUAUUUUUUUGCAAUUACAUAAUGGUAUUCAACUAACAGAACAACAAUUAUUUCAAAUACUGCGUCAAAGACAACUGAAGAUGAAAAUGAACUACAUCCCCAUAUAUAACUAA
rnacentral:lncRNA from 1 species